rnacentral:rRNA from 1 species
UACAGAGGUCUCAAGCGUUGUUCGGAUUCAUUGGGCGUAAAGGGUGCGUAGGCGGCGCGGUAAGUCGGGUGUGAAAUCUCGGAGCUUAACUCCGAAACUGCAUUCGAUACUGCCGUGCUUUGAGGACUGGAGAGGAGACUGGAAUUUACGGUGUAGCGGUGAAAUGCGUAGAUAUCGUAAGGAAGACCAGUGGCGAAGGCGGGUCUCUGGACAGUUCCUGACGCUGAGGCACGAAGGUCAGGGGAGCAAACGGG